UACAGAGACUGCAAGCGUUAUUCGGAUUCACUGGGCGUAAAGGGUGCGCAGGCGGCCAAGUGUGUUAGGCGUGAAAGCCCGGGGCUUAACCCCGGAAUUGCACCUAAAACUACAUGGCUAGAGCAUUGGAGAGGGUAGCGGAAUUCACGGUGUAGCAGUGAAAUGCGUAGAUAUCGUGAGGAACACCAGAGGCGAAGGCGGCUACCUGGGACAAUUGCUGACGCUCAGGCAACGAAAGCGUGGGGAGCAAAAGGG
rnacentral:rRNA from 1 species